rnacentral:rRNA from 1 species
UAGGGAAUAUUGGACAAUGGGUGAGAGCCUGAUCCAGCCAUGCCGCGUGCAGGAAGAAGGCGUUAUGCGUUGUAAACUGCUUUUUGCCAGGGGAUAAAAUGACCGUGCGCGGUUAAUUGAAGGUACCUGGUGAAUAAGCCACGGCUAACUACGUGCCAGCAGCCGCGGUAAUACGUAGGUGGCAAGCGUUGUCCGGAUUUAUUGGGUUUAAAGGGUGCGUAGGUGGCCCUGUAAGUCAGUGGUGAAAUAUCUCAGCUUAACUGAGAGGGUGCCAUUGAUACUGCAGGGCUUGAGUACAGAUGAGGUAGGCGGAAUUGACGGUGUAGCGGUGAAAUGCAUAGAUAUUAUCCAGAACACCAAUUGCGUAGGCAAGUUACUAAGUCAUAACUGACGCUGAGGCACGAAAGUGUGGGUAUCAAACAGGAUUAGAUACCCCAGUAGUCCCUGAGCGGGCUGGCAAGGCGCAU